UGGGGAAUAUUGGACAAUGGGCGCAAGCCUGAUCCAGCCAUGCCGCGUGAGUGACGAAGGCCUUAGGGUUGUAAAGCUCUUUUGGCGGGGACGAUAAUGACGGUACCCGCAGAAUAAGCCCCGGCUAACUUCGUGCCAGCAGCCGCGGUAAUACGAAGGGGGCUAGCGUUGUUCGGAAUUACUGGGCGUAAAGCGCACGUAGGCGGAUGUGCCAGUCAGGGGUGAAAUCCCGAGGCUCAACCUCGGAACUGCCUCCGAUACAGCACGUCUCGAGUCCGGGAGAGGUGAGUGGAACUGCGAGUGUAGAGGUGAAAUUCGUAGAUAUUCGCAAGAACACCAGUGGCGAAGGCGGCUCACUGGCCCGGUACUGACGCUGAGGUGCGAAAGCGUGGGGAGCAAACAGGAUUAGAUACCCUUGUAGUCC
rnacentral:rRNA from 1 species